CUGGCCCCGGGGGGUCACACCUGGAUUGGGGGUCACACCUGGCCCCGGGGGGUCUCACCUGUCCCCUCCCCCCAGCCCCAGGUGACCCCGGUGUCGCCGCUGGAGCCGAAAGCGCCGGGCCCGGUGGGGGAUGGGCAGGUGACCCCUGCCGGCGGCCCGGCCGAGGCCGUGCCCCCUCACCUGGCGCUCACCUGGGCGCGGCGCCGCCGGCACAGCCCCCACUUCCCGCUCUGCUCCUUCUGCUGCGGCUGCUGCCGCAACCGCGGCUGCGGCCUCUGCUGCCGCACCUGAGCGCACCUGGCGCACCUGGGCACAGCUGGGCACACCUGGGAUCACCUGAGCUUCAACUGAGCGCACCUGGGCACACCUGAGCACACCUGGGCACAGCUGGGCACACCUGGGAUCACCUGAACUGCACCUGAGCGCAGCUGGGCACAGCUGAGCCCCACCUCAGCUUCACCUGAAUGCACCUGGGCACACCUGGGCACAGCUGGGAUCACCUGAACUGCACCUGAGCGCACCUGGGCACACCUGGGCACACCUGGGCACACCUGGGCGCACCUGGGAUCACCUGAGCUUCAACUGAGCGCACCUGGGCACACCUGGGCGCACCUGGGCACACCUGAGCUUCAACUGAGCGCACCUGGGCACACCUGGGCGCACCUGGGCGCACCUGGGCACACCUGGGCACAGCUGGGAUCACCUGAACUGCACCUGGCACACCUGGGCACACCUGGGCACACCUGGGAUCACCUGAGCUUCAACUGAGCGCACCUGGCACACCUGGGCACACCUGGGCACACCUGGGAUCACCUGAGCUUCAACUGAGCGCACCUGGGCACAGCUGGGAUCACCUGAACUGCACCUGAGCGCACCUGGGCACACCUGAGCACACCUGGGCACACCUGGGAUCACCUGAGCUUCAACUGAGCGCACCUGAGCACAGCUGGGCGCACCUGGGAUCACCUGAACUGCACCUGAGCGCACCUGGGCACAGCUGGGCACAGCUGGAAUCACCUGAACUGCACCUGAGCGCACCUGGGCACACCUGGGCACACCUGAGCUUCAACUGAGCGCACCUGAGCACAGCUGGGCACACCUGAGUGCACCUGGGAUCACCUGAACUGCACCUGGGCACACCUGGGCACACCUGGGAUCACCUGAACUGCACCUGAGCACACCUGGGCACAGCUGGGCACAGCUGGCAUCACCUGAACAGCACCUGAGCGCACCUGGGCAGAGCUGGGCACACCUGAACUGCACCUGGGCGCACCUGGGCGCAGCUGGGAUCACCUGAGCUUCAACUGAGCGCACCUGAGCACAGCUGGGCACAGCUGGGCACAGCUGGGAUCAGCUGAACAGCACCUGAGC
rnacentral:lncRNA from 1 species